UACGUAGGGUGCGAGCGUUAAUCGGAAUUACUGGGCGUAAAGCGUGCGUAGGUGGUUGUAGUGUGUUCGUGAAGACCCCGGGCUCAACCUGGGAAUGGCAAUGGAUACUGGCAGGCUAGAGUGCGGUAGAGGGUAGUGGAAUUCCUGGUGUAGCGGUGAAAUGCGCAGAUAUCAAGAGGAACACCAGUGGCGAAGGCGAGUCCCUGGACAACUUCUGACGCUGAGGCACGAAAGCUAGGGGAGCAAACAGG
rnacentral:rRNA from 1 species